GAUUUAUGGCGCUUGUCUGCCCAUCAGCAGGCAACUAAAUAACUAACGAGAGGCAUUGGCCAAAUACCCAAUGUGCAGCAACAAAAAUGCAUCCAUUUACAGGAAAUCAGCAAACACAAACACACACACAGUCCGCUCACGCGGGCGAAUUUUACAGUCAAUAAUUCCGCUUAAAUACAUCGCUUAAAUUAUGCAGCACUUGGCUGGCCCCAACUACCGGAGCCCCCAAACAGCAAAUAACAAUAAAGCUAACUAACCAAAAAACAAAAACCAAAAAAAAAAAAAAAAAACAAAGAGGAAAAUUUACACGUUCAUGUUCCACCCUCGAUGCAUGGGAAAAUGACUUUUCAUUUUUUUUUUCCAUAUUUGCCAAAUUUUCAAUUUUAUAUCUAUUUCUUUUUUUUAAAUUUAUUUUUUUUUGUUUUGCUUAUGACUCUCGAAGGACUCGAAGCUGAAAUGUUUAAAGAGCGCCAUGGGAAUGCUACAGAGAGUUCUGGGCCAAUUGGGGGGACGGAAAAAAAAACUACUCUAUGUGAAAAUUGUGCUGAUCUGUGAGUAAGCGAGCGAGCGGGGGCGAGCUGCGUGCAUGGGUCGAGCAAAUAUUACCCUUGCAUUUUUCAUAUAUAAUUCGAAGCGGCGUCUUUUUUUUUUAUUUUUUUUUAUUCGCCCGAGCAAACAUUUUGCAAUCAAACAAACUGCGAGCGGGGGGAGGGGAAGGGGGGGGUUAGGGUUUGUUGGUCCCGGCUGCAAAUCUAUAUAAUAAUUUCGCGUGUGCUUGAUUUUCACGGCACUUGAAACACUCAAGUGCAGCCAAAGUCGAGGGGUUUAGCAGGCAGCCGGCAUUUUAUGCGCCUCGUAUAUUAAAACCCAUAAUUUGGCUUAAUAGUUUUUGCAAUUACCCGAAGGGUUGUGCGUACAGCGACAGCCCUAACCCUUUUUUUUAUGUGUGCCCGAACGAAGCAGGAAGCGCAGCAAUUCGCAAAGCAGCAGCAGCAGCAACAGCAACAGCCAUGGCAGGAAGUUGGCCGGGCGAUGGCUGGAGGAUGUGGAAGUGCGGCCUGUUUAUGCGUGAAAUGCGCCGCCUCGCAGCAUUUGUCAUGUGUGUGCUGGGCGGGCGAGGGGGGCUCAAGGGGUACUGAAGGGCGUUGUCAAUUAUGAAUUUAUUAGAGACUACAAUUGUGCCUAGCUAUGCACGGAUGUGUGUGUGUGUGUGUGUGUGUGUGAGUCUUAGACUGGGUAAUUAUGGGUUGAGAAUCAGUAACAGCUGGCAUCAAAUAUAGAUAUCAAGAUUUCUGGCUAUGGCAGCAGCUGAGGAUAGUCCCAGACAAAGAGAAGUUAAGUGAGAUAAUUGACGGAAAUGUUUUUAAAUCGUGAAUAUUAACACAUUUGAAAAUUAAAUCGUUAAUAUUUAAAAGCUUUAAUACAUUUUUCGUAAAUAAAUUCUGAAAUUUGUACAAUUUAUUUAUCCAUAUUCGACGGACCCAUCUGGCAACGCCGUAUCUUUUGACAGAGACGUCACAUCAAACAACCCUGUAUUUACUUUGAUUUGUGUUAAAUUUUAAAUAUACAUACAUAUUUACUUUAUUCAUAGUUCAUAUUCCAGCUCACUAAGAAAGUUUCUAACUGUUAUUUUUAGUUUAAAUAUUUAACUAAAAAUCACUUGAUUCCAUUUGUUAACAUCAUUUCCAUUCUUAAUGCACUUCAAAAAUUUAAUCUGCUCACAAAGUUUUGAUAAACGAUAAAGAACAUGCCUGAACUACAACUAAGUGGCUGCAGUCAAAUGGAAAAUCCUCGUACUCGCAUUUACAGUUGUAAAUGUGAAUGGAAAUUGAAACACAUUAAUAAUAAAUUAAGCAAAACCAAUUUAAUUUCCAGCCAUGUGGCUUAAGCAAUAAAUUAAAGAGCAAAGUAGCAGCAUUUAAUAAUACAA